rnacentral:piRNA from 1 species
UAGUGGUGACCAAGGACGAAGACUAUCCUG